rnacentral:lncRNA from 1 species
UUGCAGUUUGCCACGUAAUCUCCCGAGUUCAGACCACAUGCCGCGUUCACUUGCUAGUCAGAACAAGGAAACUUCAGACUUGCUAACUGGUUGUAGUUGCUGUAUACACGUGUCGCGUUUCAGCACUUAUAGCAAGUCGGAAAUGUCCGAGUUUCCUAGUCUCGACUAGUAAGUGAACGCGGCAAUAGACAUAGGUACAAGGGGCAGUCUGCGGAGUGAGUAGUAGAGCAACAGAAGCCUGGUGAAACACGGGCAAAACAGAAGCGCAUAACGUUACAAAUUCAAGGUGGAUGUUAUUUUCCUUUCUUUUGUGAAAACAAAACAUUGAAACGUGGAUAUUGUUAAUUGAAGGAGAUGAUGCUGCGUACACAUCCAGAUGAUGCUGCACACACAUCCAGAUGAUGCUGCACACACAUCCAGAUGAUGCUGCACACACAUCCAGAUGAUGCUGCACACACAUCCAGAUGAUGCUGCGUACACAUCCAGAUGAUGCUGCGUACACAUCCAGAUGAUGCUGCGCACACAUCCAGAUGAUGCUGCGCACACAUCUAGAUGAUGCUGCGUACUAUUUUGUGCAAUGACUCUGUCGGCGUGAACAAAGUUAGACGUGCGGGCCACAGGAGGAUGAACUUAACGGUGCGUGGUGUUGGCAAGCAAGUGGACCUCCACCCAACUGCACCUCCAGAACUGUAGAGGCAGUCACUGCACCUGCAGGAUUUGUCUGAUAGAUUUGGCUGAGCCUAGCUGAGUGCUGCAGUGUGUC